rnacentral:rRNA from 1 species
UUAAGCGACUAAGCGUACACGGUGGAUGCCCUGGCAGUCAGAGGCGAUGAAGGACGUGCUAAUCUGCGAAAAGCGUCGGUAAGGUGAUAUGAACCGUUAUAACCGGCGAUGUCCGAAUGGGGAAACCCAGUGUGAUUCGUCACACUAUCGUUAACUGAAUACAUAGGUUAACGAGGCGAACCGGGGGAACUGAAACAUCUAAGUACCCCGAGGAAAAGAAAUCAACCGAGAUUCCCCCAGUAGCGGCGAGCGAACGGGGAGCAGCCCAGAGUCUGAAUCAGCUUGUGUGUUAGUGGAACGGUCUGGAAAGUCCGACGGUACAGGGUGAUAGUCCCGUACACCAAAAUGCACAGGCUGUGAACUCGAAGAGUAGGGCGGGACACGUGGUAUCCUGUCUGAAUAUGGGGGGACCAUCCUCCAAGGCUAAAUACUCCUGACUGACCGAUAGUGAACCAGUACCGUGAGGGAAAGGCGAAAAGAACCCCGGCGAGGGGAGUGAAAAAGAACCUGAAACCGUGUACGUACAAGCAGUGGGAGCACCUUCGGGUGUGACUGCGUACCUUUUGUAUAAUGGGUCAGCGACUUAUAUUCUGUAGCAAGGUUAACCGUAUAGGGGAGCCGCAGGGAAACCGAGUCUUAACUGGGCGUUAAGUUGCAGGGUAUAGACCCGAAACCCGGUGAUCUAGCCAUGGGCAGGUUGAAGGUUGGGUAACACUAACUGGAGGACCGAACCGACUAAUGUUGAAAAAUUAGCGGAUGACUUGUGGCUGGGGGUGAAAGGCCAAUCAAACCGGGAGAUAGCUGGUUCUCCCCGAAAGCUAUUUAGGUAGCGCCUCGUGAACUCAUCUUCGGGGGUAGAGCACUGUUUCGGCUAGGGGGUCAUCCCGACUUACCAACCCGAUGCAAACUACGAAUACCGAAGAAUGUUAUCACGGGAGACACACGGCGGGUGCUAACGUCCGUCGUGAAGAGGGAAACAACCCAGACCGCCAGCUAAGGUCCCAAAGUCAUGGUUAAGUGGGAAACGAUGUGGGAAGGCCCAGACAGCCAGGAUGUUGGCUUAGAAGCAGCCAUCAUUUAAAGAAAGCGUAAUAGCUCACUGGUCGAGUCGGCCUGCGCGGAAGAUGUAACGGGGCUAAACCAUGCACCGAAGCUGCGGCAGCGACACUAUGUGUUGUUGGGUAGGGGAGCGUUCUGUAAGCCUGCGAAGGUGACCUGUGAGGGUUGCUGGAGGUAUCAGAAGUGCGAAUGCUGACAUAAGUAACGAUAAAGCGGGUGAAAAGCCCGCUCGCCGGAAGACCAAGGGUUCCUGUCCAACGUUAAUCGGGGCAGGGUGAGUCGACCCCUAAGGCGAGGCCGAAAGGCGUAGUCGAUGGGAAACAGGUUAAUAUUCCUGUACUUGGUGUUACUGCGAAGGGGGGACGGAGAAGGCUAUGUUAGCCGGGCGACGGUUGUCCCGGUUUAAGCAUGUAGGCUGAUUGUCCAGGCAAAUCCGGAUAAUCAAGGCUGAGGUGUGAUGACGAGGCACUACGGUGCUGAAGUAACAAAUGCCCUGCUUCCAGGAAAAGCCUCUAAGCAUCAGGUAACAUCAAAUCGUACCCCAAACCGACACAGGUGGUCAGGUAGAGAAUACCAAGGCGCUUGAGAGAACUCGGGUGAAGGAACUAGGCAAAAUGGUGCCGUAACUUCGGGAGAAGGCACGCUGGUGUGUAGGUGAAGUCCCUGCGGAUGGAGCUGAGACCAGUCGAAGAUACCAGCUGGCUGCAACUGUUUAUUAAAAACACAGCACUGUGCAAACACGAAAGUGGACGUAUACGGUGUGACGCCUGCCCGGUGCCGGAAGGUUAAUUGAUGGGGUUAUCCGUAAGGAGAAGCUCUUGAUCGAAGCCCCGGUAAACGGCGGCCGUAACUAUAACGGUCCUAAGGUAGCGAAAUUCCUUGUCGGGUAAGUUCCGACCUGCACGAAUGGCGUAAUGAUGGCCAGGCUGUCUCCACCCGAGACUCAGUGAAAUUGAACUCGCUGUGAAGAUGCAGUGUACCCGCGGCAAGACGGAAAGACCCCGUGAACCUUUACUAUAGCUUGACACUGAACAUUGAGCCUUGAUGUGUAGGAUAGGUGGGAGGCUUUGAAGCGUGGACGCCAGUCUGCGUGGAGCCAACCUUGAAAUACCACCCUUUAAUGUUUGAUGUUCUAACGUUGGCCCCUGACCGGGGUUGCGGACAGUGUCUGGUGGGUAGUUUGACUGGGGCGGUCUCCUCCCAAAGCGUAACGGAGGAGCACGAAGGUUAGCUAAUCCUGGUCGGACAUCAGGAGGUUAGUGCAAUGGCAUAAGCUAGCUUGACUGCGAGCGUGACGGCGCGAGCAGGUGCGAAAGCAGGUCAUAGUGAUCCGGUGGUUCUGAAUGGAAGGGCCAUCGCUCAACGGAUAAAAGGUACUCCGGGGAUAACAGGCUGAUACCGCCCAAGAGUUCAUAUCGACGGCGGUGUUUGGCACCUCGAUGUCGGCUCAUCACAUCCUGGGGCUGAAGUAGGUCCCAAGGGUAUGGCUGUUCGCCAUUUAAAGUGGUACGCGAGCUGGGUUUAGAACGUCGUGAGACAGUUCGGUCCCUAUCUGCCGUGGGCGCUGGAGAAUUGAGGGGGGCUGCUCCUAGUACGAGAGGACCGGAGUGGACGCAUCACUGGUGUUCGGGUUGUCAUGCCAAUGGCACUGCCCGGUAGCUAAAUGCGGAAGAGAUAAGUGCUGAAAGCAUCUAAGCACGAAACUUGCCCCGAGAUGAGUUCUCCCUGAGACUUUAAGUCUCCUGAAGGAACGUUGAAGACGACGACGUUGAUAGGCCGGGUGUGUAAGCGCAGCGAUGCGUUGAGCUAACCGGUACUAAUGAACCGUGAGGCUUAACCUU